rnacentral:misc_RNA from 1 species
CCUGUGCUAUCUGCACUGGAAUUCGAGUGGGCUGCACGACACCACACGGUGUUGGUUGGCCCGCUUCCGUCACGAACCCGCGCUGCAGGUCUGCCUUCAACCCGAGCGAUGCGUUGCACCACCCACCGCAAGCCGGUCAUGACAUUCGGUGUCCCUGGCCUUCAGCAUGCGGGGUGUUGCGCAAGCUACGAUAAGGAUGGUUGCUGCGGCUCCGUGCUCACGCAGCAGGACAUGCGCGCAGGUGUGUCGGUCUUCCCCUCCCCUCCCCCCGCUCCCACAGACAAGGUUGCAGCCGUGACGCUCCGGCUUUGGUGCGAUGAUCCUACCGGAAGGAGGCGCUGCACGUCCAGCUACACACCAGAGGAGUAAAUCUUGGGGCCACGGGAGACUCCCCAUACCGGGCACGAAGCGACUUCGCACCCGCUCGUUAUGCUAUUGGAAGGAGACGCCAACUCGCACAGCCCGACGUGGGACACGAAGAUGACGACCCGGCUAGGUUGGGGCCAUUCUACACGAGUGGACCGAUGACGAACACCUGACCUGUGCAAGCGAUAAGGGCACCUUGACAUGGCACUGCGGCGAAGAAACGAGGGCGCACGGGCUGCAGAGUGCCGCGCUGUGUGACCCCACCACCGCCACCACAACCCCUAAAGCGCACCGCGGGAGGGAAGGCGAGUCGCCCAUGCCGUCAGACCCACAACGAACGCCACCACACGGGCACACGCCUGCGAAGUGUCCCGCAAGGAUCGGCCCCGGGCCCUUCUCCCUUCACCCUUGUGGUGGACUCGCUGAGUGUGGGACGAGCGAAGACGCCAGCGCUGCACCGUGCCUUCCGUGCUGACAACCUCGCACUCCUCACAUCCUCCGCGGAUAAGGAUGUCAUGUGCAGCCCACACUACGAUUUGCCCUCUAGGCAGUGAAGCACUGGAGGCACGAGGGCUUCGUGGAGCUGAAUGCCCCCUAGUUGAGGCGCACACUCGCCGGUACGCAACACCGCCGUCGACCACAACUCCCCGCACUCAUGCGAAGGUGGGAGGGGAUACCCGGUGUGCAUGUGGCGGGGGAGGAGGUGUCCACACACCGGAACCUGGUGUUGUCACAGCACGUUGCCACCGCCCAUGCACGCAGGCAUUUGCCCUUGUCUUUUUGUUGUAGGGGCGGCGAGGGAGAAGAGGGAGGGAGAGGCAGAGUCUCUCUUGCCGCCCCCCCCCCGCCUUCCUUUCAGGCCCUUCCACGAAAGUCGAUUUGCGGGGCGGAAGAGGAGAAGAACGCAAUGCAUGAACGAGCGCGGUGAUUUCCUCGCCUUUGUGCGCACACG